AAAAUGUUAAAUUAAGGUAGAAGUACUAGUGCUCGACGCUGCACUAGUAUUCGACAUGGGCACUUUAUGUCAAAGUGACAAGGAUUAAAUUUGAAUACAGAAAAAUCUUCGCUGUUCAAAUUUAACCUAUAUUACUUUGACAUAAAGUGCCCAUGUCGAAUACUAGUGCAGCGUCAAGCACUAGUACUUCUACCUUAUUUCUUUUACAAUAAUUUAAAUUUCAGCUGCAAACCAGAUUCAGAUCAGAUCUUCACAUGCCAGAGUACCUCUGUCAACAUCAAACAGUGAAAAUGCACAAACUUCAGCUACUGCAUCUACGAGUACAGGCCAAGCUUGUCUGAAAUCUGGAAUAAGCAUUCGACCGGAUAAAGCGGCAAUACCAGCGAAACGCCCCCGCUUUGCUGACAAACAACCUGGCGGAUCUAGGGAUUCUCUAGUUCAGCGGUCGGCAACAAGCGGCCCGCGAGCCCCCCUGGCUAUUUUGUAUGUAAUAUUGUCAAACAACAAUGUCUGAUUAAAGUCACACAUAUUAACAAAAGUGCGGCCCGCGUCAACUUCCUUAACUACUAUGUGGCCCUUGGCUGCUAAAAGGUUGCCGACCGCUGCUCUAGUUUACGCAGCGAGCAAAUCAAAAGACUAGAUUACAAUACAACGAAGAAAGAAUUGCUGAAGAAGCUCAUGAAAGUGAAAUCGAGUUUACUUUAUUAAGAGUCUGCCUAAUAGGUAGCUUAGGACUUUAACCAGAUAAAUUGUUUUUAAAUCCAUCUUUGAAACAUGGUAUCAAAGAGAAUUUUAAAUAGAGAGUUACUGUCAUGGUAAAUUAUGUAGCUACUUACAGUACCUACAUUUACUGCCAUCUUUCGACAGAAGAUUAAACCUGUUAGAACGCCAUUUGACUUUGAUCAUUAUUCUUUCACUGAUAUUACAGAAUAAGUAAUAGUAUUUGAUAUGUGUAAACUUAUUAACACCAUCUACUCGAGAGUAGGCCAAAGGUAUGGUGCAAUCUUUUCGAGCGAUGGCGCCAUAACCUUUGGCCUACAGUCGAGUAGAUGGCGUUUUUCAAUAUUUAACAAAUUUACACAUAUCAGUGAAAGAAUAAAAGGGCUCAUUUAGUCGAUGCGAGAACUCGAGCGAGUUUCAUUACAUUGCGGUUUUUGAUCGGUCGGUUGAAUUGGACUUAACCAACAGUCCGCAAUGUAGCUAAAAUCGCAUACGCUUCGCGCGCCGUCUUAAUCAGCCUUAUGGAUCAAAGUCAAAUGGCGUUCUAACAGUUUUAAUUUUCUGUGGAAAGAUAUUGGCAGUCAAUUUACAGUGGCUACAUAAUUUACUUUGACAAUCCGCCUCUAUACACUCUAUUUUCAUUGAUGGACCAUAUUUAGUACAGACUAUGUAACUAUGUUUAUACGGGUCAAAUCUUGCAAGUUAAAUUUGACCCACUUCCCGACUUCCAAUGAAGCUGGAAAUUUGUAUACAUAAGUAAGGCGAGACAGGAGGUGGCCAUAGGAACUCUGUGAUAAAACAACGAAACCUAAUUGUGUUUGGGGUUUAUAGAAUUGUCUCGAUGAGUAUUAGUUGCCCGUGGAAUAAAAGUACAGUCAGCGAUAAAAGCUUGUACCAAAAAUUUAUUUUUGCCAUAAACUUAUUAUAUUGGUUAAAGUUAGAUAUAUGGGUUCGUUUUGGUAGGGUCUUAACUGAAUGAGUUUUAUUUUAUGCGUAUUAACUUGGAGAUUGUGAUUCUGUAGCCAUUCUGCGUCAGGGGUUAAUGAGGAUCAGCUCAUAGCGUAAUAAUUAACACACACACUAUCACACACAGCCCACAGCUGAUACGGCUUAAAGUAUAUAAUAGACCUAGGUAUAUAUAAUUUCGACUGUUGAGUUGAGUGUGUGACGGUAAUUCAGUUAGUUCCUACUUCCUUUUUACAGUUAUAUUUGUGUUUACCUUAUCCUAUUUAAAUAUAUUAAUUCAAAGAUUAGUUUUUGAAAAAUCUUUAGACAAACAUGUUAGAUUUUGUAACGAGUACAGUGUAUCCGUUUGUAAAUUCUACCAGAAUAUAUUUUGUACAGUUCAGUGUUUAAAAACAUAGGUACAGCAUAUUUGUACAUUCAGUAUUCAAAUUGUGCAAUAAGAACAAAUAUGU